rnacentral:tRNA from 1 species
UCCCCGGUGGUUCAGUGGUUAGGAUGCGGCGCUUUCACUGCCGUGGCCCAGGUUCAAUCCCUGGUCGGGGAA